GGUGAGCUCACACCCCAGAGCCCGCCCCACGGAUCUCCAGGCCCUUGGGAGCCACCUCUGUCGCUCACCGGAAGCGUCGGUCCCACAGCCGGGUCCAGGCCAGGCUGGCACCUGAAGCCACCUGCCGUUCCACCUGUCGGCGGCCGCGACUGUCGCGUCACUUCCUCUUUUACGCGGAAGUCCCGCCUACCUGACCACCCGGGUAUUGGCCCCAGUUCUUGCAGACAACCCUCCCUCCCUGGCUCCGGGCUCUCCCAGAGCCAGAAAAGAGCCCAAGUAUUGACGGAAGCUCGCCGUUAGCACGAGAAAGCGGAAACAGAGGAAAGGUCUGGAAGGGCCGACGACGCUCAACCCCGCCCUCUGCCCCGUGGCCGCCGCCAUCUUGGUGAGGGCAGGGCUCUUCCCAGCUUCCUCCGCGGGACGCCGGGGACCACGCCGGCCGAGCGGUUGCCGUGGCAACGGAAGCAUCCUUGGGCGCGGAGGCUUCCGGCGAAGUUCAGUGGAAUGCAAACCUUUUCAUGUUUUUAGCACCUUGGCCUAGGGUGCUGAGUCUCCUCUACUAGGAUGUCAGCCUCCGAACUGGAAGGACCCUUCGAGGCUACUCUCAGUCUGCGACCAGGAAACUGCCAAAAAAGAGAAGAGAUUUUGUCCAGAGCCGCCCACCGUUGGUAUAAGGUCAAGAUCUUGACCCUGAGACUCCUGCCACCUAGUGCAGCGCCCCUUUAACGCCUGCACACUUGUAUUCAGUGGCUCUGUUAACAGAUUGGGCAAGUUACCUGCCGUUGCCUUUAUGUGCCCCCUUUCGCCGUAUGCAAACAAAGAGCACUGAGGCAGAUGCUUUCUAUGGUAUUUGGUGAGAGACUCCUCACACCUCAUCUCUGUCUUUAGUCCUGAGGAGCAGCCCCCCUGAGGCCCACGGAGGAUCACAGCUUCCUUCCAGGGGCGGCGGAGGAAGGAGCCCCACCCCACCCCGCACCCCCUCUUUAGGAAGCCCAUCGGAGUCCCGGUAAAUGUGCAGAAUGCCACAGUAGCGGGGACCUUUCCAUGUACCCACUGCUCUGCAGCUCAGGUGACUCACAGGGCCUCAGAGUUCACCAUGACCCUGUGAGAGGAGGACAUGGGUUGUCAGCCACAUUGUGCAGAAGAAGAAGAAGAAGAAGAAGAAGAAGAAGAAGAAGAAGAAGAAGAAGAAGAAAACGACACCAGCCUCCAAAGCCAGACACUUUAACAGGAACUGUGACUCCUCCACCCAUGACUCUUAGCUCAAGCCCAUGUUCUGCCAUUUUAUAACUGGGUGAUCUUGGGUAAGUCACUGCCUGGCUCUGAGCUUCAGAAAUCCAUAGACCAGGGGAAAAUGAUCCUCCCAACAGGUACUUGUGAAGGUCAAGAUGAAGAGGUCCAUCUGACCUGCCUGAUUGGGACAUUUGCUUUAUUGCGGUGUUCUGGAGCCAAGCCCCAUGUCUCCGGGGCCUGCUUGUACAGAGAAUAAGAUCUGCCCCCGACCUCGGGAGGGACUUUCUGCCUGGAAAGAUAAGAAGUGCUUACUCUGGUGAGAGAACAAGUUAUUUGACCUUUAUUUCCCCUCAAAUUCAUGGUCCAAACCUCACCCCCUUAAUUGGCUGGGACAGGUUUCCCUGCUACUAGGGAGACCCAGGAGUUGACCCAGGAGACGCCCUCCACUGAUGAAGUGGUUUGUAAUAUUUUCCCACUAAUAGGCAUUACCAAACAAUCCAAUUGUCUUUCCUUGUUUGUCACAGUGACACCACCCAUUCAUUGAUGGCUUCCUGGCAUCCCCUGGAAGGUGCCAUGGGUUAUAAAGUUCAUACAGAAAGAGAAUUUAAGGAGAAGCAGUUUAGAGUUUGUCAAGAUAUGAGCCCUAAGCCCCAGUUUUUUUAAGAUUUUAUUUAUUUAUUCAUGAGAGACACACAGAGAGAGGGGCAGAGACACAGGCAGAGGGAGCAGCAGGCUCCAUGCAGGGAGCCCUAUGUGGGACUCAAUCCCGGAACCCCGGGAUCACGCCCUGAGCCGAAGGCAGACACUCAACCACUGAGCCACCCAGGUGCCCUAAGGUUUAUCCAUUCAUUCCUGCAAGAAAGUAUUUGUCUACUUUAAUGUGUUAGCCCUGAAUGCCUUAGUGCCAGCUAGUCCGGGGCCUUCCCACUGCCUUUUCUUUUUUAAAGUUUUUAAAAAAUAUUUUAUUUAUUUAUUCAUGAGAGAUACAGAGAGAGAGCGGCAGACAUAGGUAGAGAGAAGCAGGCUCCACGCAGGGAGCCCGACGUGGGACUCGAUCCCGGGACUCCAGGAUCACGCCCUGGGCUGAGGCAGACGCUCAACUGCUGAGCCACCCGGGCGCCCCAUAAGCCCCAGUUUCGAAGGAGAGAAAUCCUCCUCGGACAAUGUACAAGCAUGUAUAAGUUAAUCAACUCAGAGUUGGCUCAGGGAAGCCACGAAGGGAUUUCAGAAGGCCAUACAUAAUUCAUGACCAAAUGAAUGAUCCAAAUAACUGUUUCUGGAACUUACAAAAAGGGGUAAGAUUUGUGAGGAGAGACUGUCUGGUAAGGCUGCCUGGAAGAGGUGGGUCAGAACCAGGCCUGGAAGAUGGGGAGGAUGAGGCAGAAAAGAGAUCAGAUGAACUUUUUGGUUUCCUAGUGCAGAUAAAAGUUAUGUUUACACCGAACUGCAGUCUAUUAAGUGGGCAAGAGCAUACAUCUAGUGCAGCCUGGGUGGCUCAGUGGUUUAGCGCCGCCUUCAGCCCAGUGAUCCUAGAGACCCGGGAUCGAGUCCCAUGUCGGGCUCCCAGCAUGGAGCCUGUGUCUCUGCCACUCUCUCUCUGUAUCUCUCAUGAAUAAAUAAAUAAAAAUUUUUUUUAAAGAGCAUACAUCUAAAAAGGCAAAACGUACAUACUUUAAUUAAAAAAUAGUUUAUUACUAAAAGAAAAUGUUAACUAUUAUCUGGGCUUUCAGUGAGUCAUCAUUGAUUGUAAUCAUUGAUCACAGAUCACCAUCACAAAUAUAAUAAAAAAUUUUGAAAUAUCGUGAGAGUGACAAAAUGUGAAACUGGGAGGCAAAGGGAGCAAAUGCUGUCAGAAAAACAGCGCAGAUUUGCUCAGCGCAGGGUUGCCACAGAGUUUCAAUUUGUGAAAAACACAGUAUUUACAAAGUGCAAGAAGGGAGGUUACCAGCAUCUCCUGCAGAGCCUGGCACGAUCCCCGACUGUGGAUGUAAGUGCCCUUGAGAUGGCUGUGGCUUGGUAUGAGUUGGGACGUGUCCUGGGCCCUGGAGGACAUGGAUGGACAGGGAGAAGGGGUGAUAAAGACCUGAUCUCCCGACAAUGACCUCAGCUUCCUCCAUGGGGCUGGAAUCACCACCCUCAGUGUAGGUCCUGAAUUUUGGAAUUUUGGUUUUUAACAAACAGCAACCUGUAAACCCGGAGGCUUUGUCAUAGACUGCCGCCCCCGCUCCCACCCUAGAUAGGCCCCAGCUCCAAUCUGAGCUCUGCUGUUUUGUAGCUGGGGGAUCUUGGGCAAGUCACCCUUUGCCUGGGAGCCUCAGCUGUCUGUAGAAUUAAGGAUGAUGAUCCCUCCCAAGACAGUAGUUAAAGAGACAAAGAUUAAAAGGAGAAGCAGGUGGGAAAGUACCUCGUGAGUGAUUCACUCGGCACAGAUGACACAGGUUUUUAUUGCCAUGCCUCACUGCAAUUAUUUUGCCCAACUGCUUCAGAAGGUGGAGCCAAUGGUGCACUAAAGGGCUUUAGGAUGCUCGGGCCCCUGCAUCAUACUCUUGCAGGAAGUGUCUUACGUGGAGAUUCUGGGGCCCUGUCUCAGACCUAUUAGAUCAGAGUCUCCAGCUGGAUCUAUGGGCAGACACGUUCCUAUGUGUCCUGAGUGAAUCCAGCAAUUCCAUCUACAGAGUGAUGGCGCAAAAGGGAUCCCAGCCCAUUCCAUCAGAGGGUCCCCUCCCCCAAGCCCCAUGGCCCUGGCCACCAAGGAGUUUCACUCAAACCACCUAUUAGCACGUAACUCUAAUACCACGUUCUGGUCUAUAACUGCACAGAACCCCUGCUAGACCAGCCAGUGAAGGUGGGGACAUCUCUACGCCCCUCAUUCCAGCAAGAAGAAGCUACCAAAGGGCCUCUUGCCAUUCCUGGAACAUGCUGGAAUGUUUCCACCUUAUGGCAUUUGCCCCUGCAGCUUCCUCUGCCUGGAACAUUCUUCGCCUCUUCGCCAUGAAGUGAGCAUUCCCUCACUUCCUCUGUGUCUCUACUCACAGGUGAGGUCCUCAGGGAAGCCCUCCCUAUGCACCAGCUCGAGCACAGCCCCUGGCGAGUCUCUCCCAUUCAUUUCCCAGGACUACAAGUUGCCCUCGGGCAGGAACCUGGCCUGUCCCGGUCACACCCGAUGCCAACACUCAGCACAGUGCCCAGCACGCAUAACAUUGACGCAUACCUAUUGAGUGAAUAAAUAACUGUGUCAUGGAGAGCCCUGCUCAGAGACUGGGUAGCGGUCAGGGACAGCAGAGGCCUCCAGUUUCAGGAUCGGGGCCCCAGACUCCAUCUGUAUGGCACAGGGCAGCCACAGGAGCCUAGAAGAGCAGUCAGAUCCGUAGUUGGCUGGACCCCACCUGCUACUGCAGCAGGUCAGUGGAUGUGGGGGGAGUCUCCCCUCCCCCAAUCUGAAACAAGGUCAGAGAACAGGGCUCAGGGACUGCGCGACCCAGACCCACCAGGAAUCUGGGAUUCCAGACAGAAGGGGGCACUGGUUCAGUGGGUCAGCCUGUGGGGGGCAAUGGGUCUGUGGAGGCCAGAUUCCCCUAGGGACAGGAGAGUCCCUCCCACUCCGGCAGCAGUGGCUGAGGCAGAGGAUUAGCAUUGCUCAGAACCAUUUGCAUCAUUCCAGAAGCCCCUUCCCAGCUUUGAUGAGGCUGGGACCUCCUUGCCCUUGGGGUGCAGGGCAGCUCUCUCCUCUCCACUCAAUGGCCUCUUGCAGUAGUGGGGUGUGGGCUUCCGUGGGGCGCCACCUCCAAAUCAGCUCUAUUCCUGGCUCUGCUUAGCAUGCAAUGGGCUGACCCCUGACCUUCCCUCUCCCCCCUCGCCCACCCUUCGCGUUCUGCCCCCAGAGUUAGGUCAGUGAUGAAAGCCUAGCGGGGUGGAGGGAGAGGGACAGUGCCUAAUUGUUCCCCCCGCCCCUGGCAGACCCGCUGGCCUCAGGGUGGCUGGCUCUUUGCUAUCUCGGCUUCUCCCCUCCCCCUCCCCCACUGCCAUUCUCUCCCUCAGUGUCUCUAGGUCCAUGAGGUCCCAGGCUCAAGUGGGAAGUCAGUAGCUAUGUGGAUGCCAGGACAUCCCCCAGAGGUUACGAAUCAGCAGGUCUGGGAUGGGGCCUCAUGGUUCAGAUACAGGGCAGGAACCCUGGGAGGACCCCACUUUGGAAAGAGCCUAGGACCAGAGCCAGAAGACCCUGGGCAGCCUGGACUUCUAUGAGCCUCCACCGCGUGUGAGACGGGAUCUCGGGGUGCUUCAGGGCGAAGCCAGCCCCACAGGAAGGCUGUGAGGAUGAUGACAUGUGACAGAUGUGAAUGUGCCUGCUCCCCCCUUCCUCUCUGAUCGGCCGCACCCCCACCUGAUGCGUGGGGUCUGUCCACCUCUCUGUCCCGUCCCACCCGUCUGGUGGUCCAUCUUUGCUCCAGGACGCACCACACCGGCCUGAUCACUGCAGCUCUGCGAGACGCCUCGAUAUCUGGCAGGGCAAGGGCCCUCCCUCCUUCUGCGAGGGUGUCUCAGCUAUUCUUAGUGAUUUGCCCUUUCUUACCGCUUUUAGAACCAGCUUGACAAGCUCCACCUAAACCCUGUGGGGGUUUGAUCAGGACUGAACUGAAUCUAGACGGGAAUUGGGGAAGAACUCGAUGAUAUUGAACCUCCCCGCACAAUUACAGAUCGAAGGAGGCCGCCAGAACAGAGUUCGUGCGUGCCCUUCCACCCAUCCACCGACCUUGUUCAGAUUCCACUCACUUUACGUGGAUUCGCACACACAUGUGAGUGUGUGUGUGUGAGUGUGUGCAGCCGUGCAGUUUCCUCCCCUCGUGGAUUCGUGGAAUCACCACCACGAGCCUGACACACAGCUGUCCCAGCCCCACAAAGACCUUCCCUCUCUCUCCCCACCCUUCCACCCUUCCUGGUCUCCUCUCUUUACUUUUGUCAGUUUGAGAACCUCACGUUGAUGAACCACACAGCGUGGAACCUUUACAGGGAGGCUUCUUUCAUGCAGCUUCAUUCCCCUGAGCUCCAGCCAGCCAGCUGCGUGUAUCCGUAGGUAGUUUUUAUCAUGUGCACUUGGUAUUUGGUUCUUUUAUAUUAACAUUAUUUCAUCUACAUGUUUCCAUGUAUUGCUUGUGGCCGUGUACUUGCCAUGCCAUUUCUCAUAUUCACAUUUAUUUUUUAUGACAAAAUUGUAUAAUUUAUUAUUCGAUAAGUGUUCUUUUUUAUUUUAUUGUUUAAAUUUUAUUUGAAUUCAAUUAAUUAGCAUAUAGAGUAUUAUUAGUUUCAGAGGUAGAGGUCAGUGAUUCAUCAAUGGCAUAGAACACCCAGUGCUCAUCCCACACGUGCCUCCUUAAUGCUCGUCAUCCAGUUACCCUGUCCUCUCACCCCUCUCCCCUCCAGCGACCCUCAGUUUGCUUCCCAGAGUUAAGAGUCUCUUAUGGUUUGACUCCCUCUCUGAUUUCAUCUUAUUUUAUUUUUCCCUCUCUUCCCCUAUGAUCCUCUGUUUUGUUUCUUACAUUCAACAUAGGAGUGAAGUCACAUAAUUGCCUUUCUCUGAUUGACUUAUUUCGCUUAGUGUAAUACCCUCUAGUUCUAUCCAUGUCAUUGCAAAUGGUAAGAUUUCAAAUUUUUGGUGACUAAGUGAUAUUCCA